UGAUGCCCUUUGGUUGUGUACAAAGUCAAUCGAGUAAUCUCUGUAAAUCUUUGCAAUCCGGUUAAAUAGUGUUAUGCAGUUUUCACCAACGAUUGAAGGAAUGUGUUUCUGAUAUUACGCGAUUGUUAUUUCAUUAUCUCCGACAAACGCACGCCCACAAUUUAGACUUUCGUUAUCGUUCAUUCAAAGCCAGCUCCUACGGUGUCCGCACUUUUAGAAGGUUUAUUGGGUAAAUCAAAAUGUACGACGACACCUCAACCUAAAUGCGAUGACGACAAAAAACCAAAUGACAAGGAUCCAGACAAAAAAGAUUCAAAUGAACAGUAACAACAUUUUUGUAAACAUAAAUAUUUUAUUAUAACUAAUGUAAUUUAUUGUAUGGAUGUUAUAAAUAAAACAAUUCAAAUUAAACAAUUUCUGUAUAUUUUAAAACAUAUAGUUUGAAUUUCUCGAGUCGCGUUAAUGCGGGUAACCGGCAAUUUUAUUCUCCAAGUGGGUAGAUACGCUCUCUAGCGCGGAGCUGCGGAGAGUUGAGAGAGGGUCGUGUGCAAGCAAAGCGAGUCUGUUAGUUCAAGUUCAAAGUUCAUAGGAAGUGGCUACUUGUCCGACAUUAGGUUUAUUAGCAAAUGGGGUUUCUUUUUUCGGUUUCGCGUUUAAUAACGAUGCACAAGGCAGAAUUACUGGUGUCAGACUUGACUCGAUUGACACCGAACGACCAGGUACCUGCAGGGUAACGGCAAGGGUAAGUACCUCCUCCAUCAUCCCCUUUUUAAUUAUGCCCUUCAUGCGUAGUCUAAGGGUAGGUUGUGCCGCGCACGAACCCGUUUUGUACAGCACAGUUAUAGAAUAUCAAGAAUAUGGCUCCUACGUAAAUAAUAAUAACUCACAAUUUUGUCAUU